rnacentral:rRNA from 1 species
UGGUGGAGUGAUUUGUCUGGUUAAUUCCGUUAACGAACGAGACCUCAUCUUGCUAAAUAGUACUGGCUAGCGCCUGUACGGGUGAAGCGUAUCGCAGCGUGGGUUGGUCUCGGCCGGCUCCCUCGGUGCGUGGAUCCUUGGUGCCUAGCUCUGGCGUGCAGCAAUGCACGUCGCGGUGCUUCUUAGAGGGACAGCUUGCGUUUCAGUAAGAGGAAGCUUGAGGCAAUAACA